rnacentral:rRNA from 1 species
UAGGGAAUAUUGCAAAAUGGGCGAAAGCCCGAUGCAGCAACGCCGCGUGGGCGAUGAAGGCCUUCGGGUCGUAAAGCCCUUUUUGAGGGGAUGAGGAAGGACAGUACCCUCAGAAUAAGCCUCGGCUAACUACGUGCCAGCAGCCGCGGUAAAACGUAGGAGGCGAGCGUUACCCGGAUUUACUGGGCGUAAAGCGCGUGCAGGCGGUCCAGCAAGUUGGAUGUGAAAGCUCCCGGCUUAACUGGGAGAGGUCGUUCAAUACUACUGGACUUGAGAGUGGUAGAGGGAGGUGGAAUUCCGGGUGUAGUGGUGAAAUGCGUAGAUAUCCGGAGGAACACCAGUGGCGAAAGCGGCCUCCUGGACCACUUCUGACGCUCAGACGCGAAAGCUAGGGUAGCGAACG